rnacentral:rRNA from 1 species
UACAGAGGUCUCAAGCGUUGUUCGGAUUCAUUGGGCGUAAAGGGUGCGUAGGCGGCGCGGUAAGUCGGGUGUGAAAUCUUGGAGCUUAACUCCGAAACUGCAUUCGAUACUGCCGUGCUUGAGGACUGGAGAGGAGACUGGAAUUUACGGUGUAGCGGUGAAAUGCGUAGAUAUCGUAAGGAAGACCAGUGGCGAAGGCGGGUCUCUGGACAGUUCCUGACGCUGAAGCACGAAGGCCAGGGGGAGCAAAACGGG